rnacentral:rRNA from 1 species
ACGCUCGACACCUACGGGAGGCAGCAGUCGGGAAUAUUGCGCAAUGGAGGAAACUCUGACGCAGUGACGCCGCGUAUAGGAAGAAGGUUUUCGGAUUGUAAACUAUUGUCGUUAGGGAAGAGAAAGGACAGUACCUAAGGAGGAAGCUCCGGCUAACUACGUGCAGCAGCCGCGGUAAUCUGAGCGGGCUGGCAAGGC